rnacentral:rRNA from 1 species
CGGUUGGUCCUACCGGACCCGACCGCUAUUUGGGUGAGGAUAAGCCAUGCAAGCCGAAUGGGAUACCUAAAUAUCCCAUGGCAAACUGCUCAGUAACACAUGAUCAACUUGCCCUAUAGAGAAAAAUAACCUCGGGAAACUGAGGAUAAUUUUUCAUAGUUGAAUUGGCUUGGAAAAGUUAUUCAACAAAAAUGAUAAGAAAAAUGGUUCUUAUCAGCUAUAGGAUAGGAUCGUGUUCGAUUAUGGUUGUUGGUGAGGUAACGGCUCACCAAGCCGAUAAUCGAUAGGGGCCGUGAGAGCGGGAGCCCCGAGAUGGGUACUGAGACAACGACCCAGGCCUUACGAGGCGCAGCAGGCGCGAAACCUCCGCAAUACACGAAAGUGUGACGGGGUUACCCAAAGUGUUCAUUUAUGAACUGUGGUAGGUGAGUAAUGUCCCCUACUAGAAAGGAGAGGGCAAGGCUGGUGCCAGCCGCCGCGGUAAAACCAGCUCUUCAAGUGGUCGGGAUAAUUAUUGGGCUUAAAGUGUCCGUAGCCGGUUUAGUAAGUUCCUGGUAAAAUCGGGUAGCUUAACUAUCUAUAUGCUAGGAAUACUACUAUACUAGAGGGCGGGAGAGGUCUGAGGUACUACAGGGGUAGGGGUGAAAUCUUAUAAUCCUUGUAGGACCACCAGUGGCGAAGGCGUCAGACCGGAACGCGCCUGACGGUGAGGGACGAAAGCCAGGGGAGCGAACCGGAUUAGAUACCCGGGUAGUCCUGGCCGUAAACGAUGCAUACUAGGUGAUGGUACGGCCAUGAGCCGUAUCAGUGCCGUAGGGAAACCGUUAAGUGUGCCGCCUGGGAAGUACGGUCGCAAGGCUAAAACUUAAAGGAAUUGGCGGGGGAGCAC